UACGUAGGUGGCAAGCGUUAUCCGGAAUUAUUGGGCGUAAAGAGCGCGCAGGUGGUUGAUUAAGUCUGAUGUGAAAGCCCACGGCUUAACCGUGGAGGGUCAUUGGAAACUGGUCAACUUGAGUGCAGAAGAGGGAAGCGGAAUUUCCGGUGUAGCGGUGAAAUGCGUAGAUAUCGGAAGGAACACCAGUGGCGAAAGCGGCUUCCUGGUCCAGCACCGACGUUCAGGCACGAAAGCGUGGGGAGCAAACAGG
rnacentral:rRNA from 1 species